GAUGAAGAACGUAGUGAAAUGCGAUACGUAAUGUGAAUUGCAGAAUUCAGUGAAUCAUCGAAUCUUUGAACGCACAUUGCGCCCGCCAGCACUCUGGCGGGCAUGCCUGUUCGAGCGUCAUUUCAACCAUCAAGCCCCAGGCUUGCGUUGGAGCCCUGCGGCUGCCGCAGCCUCCUAAAAGCAGUGGCGGGCUCGCUAUCACACCGAGUGCAGUAGAUUACUCUUCGCUCAGGGCGUGCAGCGGGUUCCGGCCGUGAAACCCCCUACUUUUAAAGGUUGACCUCGGAUCAGGUAGGAAUACCCGCUGAACUUAAGCAUAUCAAUAACGGAGGA
rnacentral:misc_RNA from 1 species